rnacentral:rRNA from 1 species
UACGGCUCAGUAACACGUCGAUAAUCUGCCCUUGGGUUUGGGAUAGCCUCGGGAAACUGAGGGCAAUACCUAAUAGGGGAAUUCCACUGGAAUGUGUUUUCCUUCAAAGGCAACGCCCAAGGAUGAGUUGGCGGCGGAUUAGCUAGUUGGUGGGGUAAUGGCCCACCAAGGCUAUGAUCCGUAGGGGCCUUGAAAGAGGUAGCCCCGAGAAGGGUACUGAGAUACUGACCCUAGCCCUACGGGGUGCAGCAGGCGCGAAACCUUUACACUACACGAAAGUGUGAUAAGGGGAUCCCAAGUGCCUAUACUUUGUAUAGGCUUUUUUCAAGAGCAAAUAUCUUGGAGAAUAAGUGGUGGGUAAGACCGGUGCCAGCAGCCGCGGUAAU